CCUUUCCAUCCCCACAACCUCCCGCAAAUAUGACUUCUGGAGCACCAGCUCCUACUGCCCCCAGGCCCCAUUUCCAAAUCCUGGGCACCCAAGACAGCUCAGUGUGUUUACAUAAUUUACCUAAGGGCACCCAAAGUUCUUUUCUCUCUAGUUCUCAGGAAUCUCAACUCCCAGCAGCAUAGGAUUUCUUCCAAGGAUCAAAUCUCCGCGCCACCCCUGCUAAACCUCCUUGCAGAACUGCUUCUGGGCUGUCUCCUGCCCCCCUCCUUCCAGGCCUCGGCCUGGCCUUCUCCAUCUGCAUGACAGAGGCUCAGCAAGGAAUCCCAGUUGGGAAGCCCUCAAAGAUAAAAAAGUUCUUUUUUAAAUUUUUUUAGAGACAGGGUCUUGCUCUGUCACCCAGUCUGGAGUGCAACGGUGCAAUCAGCUCACUGCAACCUCAAAUUCCUGCACUCAGAUGACUCUCCCACCUCAGCCUCCCAAAUAGCUGGGACUACAGGCACACCACCAUGCCCGGCUAACUUAAAAAAAUUUUUUUGUAGAGACAGGGUCUCUCUGUGUUUCGCAGGCUGUUCUCAAACUCCUGGUUUCAAGCAAUCCUUCCCCCUCAGUCUCCCAAAGUGCUGGGAUUACAGGUGUGAGCCACCAAGCCUGUCUGAUAAAAGCUAUUUCAGAGUAACAGGGCAAAGAGAGAAGCAAUAAACAGUGCUCAAGAGCUAGCUCCAGACAGAUGGCCAGCGUAAUAAAUGUAAAUGAA
rnacentral:lncRNA from 10 species